ACGCUCGACACCUACGGAGGCAGCAGUGGGGAAUAUUGCACAAUGGGGGAAACCCUGAUGCAGCGACGCCGCGUGAGCGAAGAAGUAUUUCGGUAUGUAAAGCUCUAUCAGCAGGGAAGAAACUGACGGUACCUGACUAAGAAGCACCGGCUAAAUACGUGCCAANAGCCGCGGUAAUCUGAGCGGGCGUGGCGAAGGCG
rnacentral:rRNA from 1 species